GAUGUAAGUUGAGAAAUCUCUGUAAUCAACACAUUUUCUCUUUCAUUCAUUAUUUUCAAGGGAAAAGCUGCAUGUAUUGUAUCACUAACCCUCAAAGAAGAUGAACAGAAAGGCAAUUACUAACAGAGAUGAAGAAGAGCAUUUUCUGAGACGACCACUGAAAGAAGCAGCUCCUGACUCCAGGACUGCAGAAGCAAAAGAAAGAGUUUGGUUUAGGAGCCAACUCAUCAUAGACGGAAAGACCUGAAACUGUGAGUGAAAUUAAACCAUUUCUCUUUAUAAGCUGAUUGUCUUGGGUAUU
rnacentral:lncRNA from 1 species